GGGCCUGACAAGGUUUCGACUGGUCGAUGGACAACUGAACAGCGGGCGAGUGUUGGCCGCACUUCUACUCUGAGUGAACGCGGCAACUGAUAAACGCAACCGACACGGAUGCAACGGUGACCGACGCCGAGAUCGAGGCCUUCUUCGCUGAAGAGGCUGCCGCUCUCGUCUGAGGGAACCAGCCCGGCUCAGCGUGCUGCUGUGCAGCGGCCAGGCUUCAUCUCUAACAGCAGCAACAACCGCAGGUUACUGAUCAUCGAGCGGUCAUAGAAAAAAGAGAUCAACGGAAGCGACCACGAGAUCCUGUCCUUGGGAGCCGGUCGACCGUCUAGUGGGCUGUCAAACCCACCAGUGCAAGGACUACGCCCGUAGAACGCAGUGAGAAAGACACCAGGACGGGGGUUCGAUUCCCCCCAGGUCCAC
rnacentral:tmRNA from 1 species